rnacentral:rRNA from 1 species
GAUGAACGCUGGCGGCGUGCUUAACACAUGCAAGUCGAACGGAAAGGCCCUGCUUUUGUGGGGUGCUCGUUUGGCGAACGGGUGAGUAACACGUGAGUAACCCGCCCCUGACUUUGGGAUAACUUCAGGAAACUGGGGCUAAUACCGGAUAGGAGCUCCUGCUGCACGGUGGGGGUUGGAAAGUUUCGGCGGUAGGGGCUGGACUCGCGGCUUAUCAGCCUGUUGGUGGGGUAGUGGCUUACCAAGGCUUUGACGGGUAGCCGGCCUGGGAGGGUGACCGGCCUCCUUGGUACUGAGGUACGGCCCAGACUCCUACGUGAGGCAGCGGUGGGGAGUAUUGCGCAAUGGGCGGAAGCCUGAUGCGGCAACGCCGCGUGCGUGAUGACGGCCUUCGGGUUGUAAACCGCUUUCGCCUGUGACGAAGCGUGAUUGACGGUAAUGGGUAAGGAAGCACCGGCUAACUACGUG